AUUGAACGCUAGCGGCAGGCCUAACACAUGCAAGUCGAGCGAGCGGCGGACGGGUGAGUAAUGUAUGGGAAUCUGCCUGAUGGCGGGGGAUAACUACUGGAAACGGUAGCUAAUACCGCAUACCAUCAGAUGAACCCAUAUGGGAUUAGCUAGUGGGUGGGGUAACGGCUUACCUAGGCGACGAUCCCUAGCUGGUCUGAGAGGAUGAUCAGCCACACUGGGACUGAGACACGGCCCAGACUCCUACGGGAGGCAGCAGUGGGGAAUAUUGCACAAGGGGGGCAAGCCUGAUGCAGCCAUCCCGCGUGUAUGAAGAAGGCCUUCGGGUUGUAAAGUACUUUCAGUCGGGAGGCGUUACCGACAGAAUAAGCACCGGCUAACUCCGUGCCAGCAGCCGCGGUAAUUC
rnacentral:rRNA from 1 species